rnacentral:rRNA from 1 species
GACGUAGGGCGCGAGCGUUGUCCGGAUUUAUUGGGCGUAAAGAGCUCGUAGGCGGUUUGUUGCGUCGGCUGUGAAAUCCCGAGGCUCAACCUCGGGUCUGCAGUCGAUACGAGCAAACUAGAGUGUUGCAGGGGAGACUGGAAUUCCUGGUGUAGCGGUGAAAUGCGCAGAUAUCAGGAGGAACACCGAUGGCGAAGGCAGGUCUCUGGGCCACUACUGACGCUGAGAAGCGAAAGCAUGGGGGAGCGAACAGG